rnacentral:rRNA from 1 species
GAUGAACGCUGGCGGCGUGCCUAAUACAUGCAAGUCGAACGAGCCUUCGGGCUAGUGGCGGACGGGUGAGUAACACGUUAGUACCUGCCCUUUAGUGGGGAAUAACUCGGCGAAAGUCGAGCUAAUACCGCAUGUGAUCCUUCGGGAUUAAAGAAUUUAUUCGCUAAAGGAGGGGCUUGCGUCUGAUUAGCUAGUUGGUAGGGUAAAGGCCUACCAAGGCGAUGAUCAGUAGCUGGUCGAGAGGAUGACCAGCCACACUGGGACUGAGAUACGGCCCAGACUCCUACGGGAGGCAGCAGUAAGGAAUCUUCCGCAAUGGACGAAAGUCUGACGGAGCAACGCCGCGUGCAGGAUGACGG